UUUUUUUUUCCUUUUUUUUUUUUUUUUUUGAGACAGAGUUUCACUCUUGUUGCCCAGGCUGGAGUGCAAUGGCGCUAUCUCGGCUCACCACAAACCACCAUUCUUGAUUCCUAUUUCCUUUUAGUUUCCAUGUUUGACUAAAAUGAACUAUUCUAAUGCUAACACUGCUAAUAUUUAGUUAACGGCUUCCUUUUUUUAAUCUCUGUCUAAUCGAGGAUUGCCCCAAUUCAUCCUGCCUAAUGCUAAUCCAUUCAACUUCUACCACCAGAUAACAUUACUCACAGCACAUCAAUUUCUGCCCAUGUCUUCCUGAUUAAAAUCUCUAACAGUUUCCCAGUUUCAAAGGCGGUGGCCCUCAAAGUAGGCAUACAAGACAUCUCAUCAUAAGGCAGAAAGAAAAUACUAGAUCAUAUAUUUGUAUUCACUUUUAAAUUAAAAAAUAAGAAAAUAUUGAUUUAUUUUCCACGAUAUAAGACACCAUGGAGCUGUACAAUCUCCUAAUACUCUGCCAACAUAACUGCCUCUCUCUUGAUUUACAUUGCCUCAGGACCGUAAAGACAAUGUCCAUAGGGAAGAGGGCUCUUGACGUCUUUAUUUAAAAGUGGGAAAAGUAGGGUCAUCAUGGAAGACUUUGCAAGAGAAAUAUUGAGACAGGCUUGCAAUAACACUGAUUACUCCAAGGGCAGCCUGCCCCCAACUUCUGGAAAAAGGCCGAAGUACCUGAGAAAACGGUCAAUAUUUUAAAACAUUUCUGCUUUACCCACAAAAUUUUCACUGGCUCUCCAUUAUCUCAAGGAUAAAAUUCAAAUCACUUAGCAUUCAAGACGUCCCUUAAACUAGCCAAAAUUACCAUUCACAUCCCAUUUCCCGAACACUGCAACAACUAUUCCUCCUAAAACAAUCUCUGUCUUCAUCAUCAAAGGUCCCCCUGAAGGAACCCCAUUUUGCCUACCUGGGCUUCCUUCCAUUUCCUCUUGGUUUUUACCAUUUCUACUCUUUAUUUUAGGCCUACCUUAAGCCCUACAUCUGUGAAGUCUAUUCACCUUUUCAUCUAUUCCGGAUGCCCUUUCCUUUGAAUGUUUCUAGAAUGUAUCUGUAUUUUACUAGCUAAUAAAAAGUUUUACAGUCAGUAUGACUACAAUUUAUCAUCCAAACUGGGAAAUUUCUGAGAGUAAAAUGAAGCAGUUUUAAUAAUUUUGCCUGGACCACAGGUGAAAACUGGACUGCUCUGAGUGAACAGGUUAGGUGUUCUCUGAUUACAAUUCCUCCCAGGGAAAUUCUAAAGUCAGAAAUAUGUAUCUUAAUCUCUUUGAGUAGCUGGUGCUUUAUCUAUAAUAGAAGCUUGGUAAAUAUUAAUGGAUGGUUUAAUUGGUGUAUGAAAAUAUUCAGAACCAUCAGAUUAGGUAAUAUUUGUAUCAUCAUUAACAUUUAUUCACGUGCAAGAAAUCAAGGUUGAAAAAAACCAUAGUUCUCUAAUAAAGAGAGAACAAAACAUUGAACUAAAGCACAAAAAUAGCCCUCAAAUAGCCAUCUGAUUCUCAAAUCUUGCUCCAAAGUUAGUGAAAGGAUAAGAGUUGUGAAAAGCUGAUCAGUGGAAACUUGAGUUUAUUUUUUUGAUUAUGUUUUAUGUGGAGCUCUCUUGACCUGGCUGUAUUUCCAGGAGACUAUGGGGUUAAACCACAGUGGUCACAGUGAACCUCAUGUCAGUCCAACAGAAACAAACAUAUGAUGCAGGGGUUCUAUCCCCAACCCCCAAUUAGUCAGUUUUGCCUGGAGUGGACCAUCCAAGUGUGUUUUUUACUACCAGUUUUCAGGUGACAUUUCCCACAUCCUAAGCAAAGGAAGUCUGGCCUUUUCUCCAUGAUGUUCCCUUAUUGUUAUUUUAUGCUGAAUCACAGUGCAGUACCUUACUGUGCACCCACGUUCCUUGCUGGAUAUUGGCAGUGCUCCCAGUGGGUACCACUGGUCCUGGCAUCUCUUACCCAGCACCACCAUUUCCCACAGGACACAGCUCCAAGACACCAAGGUUGUUCUGAUGUAAAGUGCAGACAGAAACUUCUCCUGCUUCCUUUUUUAGAUCACAUUCUGUUAGUAC
rnacentral:lncRNA from 1 species